rnacentral:misc_RNA from 1 species
GAAAUGCGAUACGUCUUGCGAAUUGCAUUACCAGCGAGUCAUCAAACCUUUGAACGCAUCUUGCGCUUCCCUAUGGGGAGCAUAUCUGUUGGAGUAUCUGUAGAACUCUCUUGAGUCUUUCGACUCGUGGUCUCCCUCCUAUUUUAUACAGGAGUUGGAUAGAUGUUAAGGCGGUGUAAGUACUCUUCGGAGUCUUACCUGCUAGCGAUUCAGAUGUGGCGUCUAAGCCGCAAUCUCGAACAACCCUUGUCGUGUUAGUCCUGCAAUAUGGCUUCGACAAGAAUUGGCUUGCCAAAAUUCGAGACUUGUGUGUGCUUGUUCGCAUCAAAACACAACUGAGAACAGUAUGGGAAGUAUUCUUCUCGAUCAGACCUCCAAUCAGAUAAGACUACCCGCUGAA